GGCUCGGAACCUAUAGCUCAACCAGCUAAGGCGCCAGCCAC
rnacentral:precursor_RNA from 1 species